UGGACACUAACAGGAAGUAUCUUCGUAAGUACUAGUGUAGAAAUAUGUCCAAAUCUUUGAUGCCACAGUUCCACAUUGCAGUUAUUUGCCUCACUUGCUGGCAGUUCAUUAGCAGCACACAUAGCUAUAUCCUUAUUCUUUGCAAGCUGAGCCAAUAAGAUGUAUAAUCCUCUCACUUGUUUACCAAUCUCCCUCACCUUCCCAGUGAUGAGAUCCUGAAAAACACAAAAAUCAGGAAAAAAAAGAUGUUGCUACACAUUGUAAUUCUUUUCAAGUUUGAUACUGAAAGCAAAUUAUAUUUGAAUUGAGGCACAUGAAAGACAUUAGUUAAAGUACUCUUGUCAGAAAUUGAACUUGCUCCAGUGUGAGUAACAAAAGACACAUCACCAUUUGGUAGAAGAACUUUCUUAAGAUUCAUAGUAUGUACUAUUCUAGACUUGUUGAGAAGGUUAGGAUCAUACACCAUAUGGUUUGUAGCACCAGUGUCUAUAAUCCAUUCUUGAGAACCAUUUGAAACCAAGAAAGCUUUAUUAGUACCUGUUACAUUAGCUGCUGAAUCCAUAUUAGUAGUAGUUGCUGAAGUCCCUUUGAGCAAUUGAACAAUCUGAUCAUAUUGCUCCUUUGUGAAGGCAAAGUUUCCCAGCUGGUUUGAAAUAGCUUCCAUUCCCUGACUGUAGUUUCCCACCUGAUCAUACUGUCUUUCAUUUGCAGACUUAUCAUUUGACGGCAAAUAUUUGCACUGUUGUUUUCAGCUAUUAUAUUAGCAACAUUGGCAUUGUGAGCUGCAUUAUAUUCUUUCCUUCUCUGCUUAAACUCUUGUGGAUAUCCCACUAACAACAACAACAACAACAACAACAACAACUAUCCAGUAUAGUCCCACAAAGUGG
rnacentral:lncRNA from 1 species